UUGUGUUUAGUCUAAUGAUUAAGGGGCUAGGCUUGUAACCUAAAGGUCACAGGUUCGAUUCCCAUGUAGGACACU
rnacentral:tRNA from 1 species